GACGAACGCUGGCGGCGUGCUUAACACAUGCAAGUCGAACGGAAAGGCCCUGCUUUUGGGGGGUGCUCGAGUGGCGAACGGGUGUGUAACACGUGAGUAACCUGCCCUUGACUUUGGGAUAACUUCAGGAAACUGGGGCUAAUAGCGGAUAGGAGCUCCUGCUGCAGGGUGGGGGUUGGAAAGUUUCGUCGGGUGGGGAUGGACUCGCGGCUUAUCAGCUUGUGGGUGGGGUAGUGGCUUACCAAGGCUUUGACGGGUAGCGGGCCUGGGGGGGUGACCGGCACAAUUGGGCUUGAGCUCGGGCCCAGCCCCCUCCGGGGGGAAGAAGUGGGGAAUAUUCAACAAUGGGCGGAGGCCUGAUGAAGCACCGCCGGGUGCGGGAUGACGGCCUCCGGGUUGUAACCCGCUUUCGCCUGUGACGAAGCGUGAGUGACGGUAAUGGGUAAAGAAGCACCGGCUAACUACGUG
rnacentral:rRNA from 1 species